rnacentral:rRNA from 1 species
AUUGAACGCUGGCGGCAGGCCUAACACAUGCAAGUCGAACGCGUCGGGGACGGGGGAGUAGUGUUUGGGCCAGCGCCUUACAGAGGGGGAUAACUUCUGGACACGGUCGCAAAUACCACAUAACAUCAGAUGCGCCCAGGUGGGUUAAGAUAGUUGGUGGGGUAACGGCUCACCAAGGCGACGAUCCCUAGCUGGUCUGAGAGGAUGCCCAGCCACACUGAAACUGAGACACAGUCCAGACUCGUACGGGAGGCAGCAGUGGGGAAUAGUGCACAAUGUGCGCAGGCCUGAUGCAGACAUGCCGCGUGUAUGAAGAAGGCCUUCGGGUUGUAAAGUACGUUCAGCGGGGAGGCGUUACCCGCAGGAGAAGCACCGGCUAACUCCGUGACAGCAGCCGCGGUAAUUC